AUUAACUAUGUACCCAUUUUGUAUCUGGUUCGUAGAGUUAUUGAGGUAAGAUAAUAAUCCUUUUGGCAUAUGACUUGUAAGUGCAUUAGUCGUUUCACUGGCUAAAACGUAAAUUUAUAUAUUUGAUUAUUAUAUGUACUCUUUAAUAUUAUGAACACGACAUCUGAUUGGAUACAUCUAACUGGUGGCAAAACCCACAUGGCAGGGUAACUGGUUUUGGACAUUACUUUGACUACUAUAGAAUUAGGAUGGUAGAUUGUUUUCGGCAAGACUCACUGUGACGCGAGUUCUUAUGGUUUCAGGGACUUCAAUCUGGGCAUAAUUAUUAUUAUGUUUGAGAAAUCAAUACAACUGGUAUUACGCAGGACGGCAGCGGUGAAGGCAUAUUUAGUAGUUCCUUCGUUGUUGUAAACAUUGGAGGAUUUUCAAACAGAGAAAGAGUGCCACCGAAGGUUCGAAGGGCUUUCAGAGGGACAUGUUAGACAUGUUCAAUGAUAUUAUCUAUUCUCUCGAGGGUUACCUAACCAAUUUUUUUGGAAGAUUUGCUCAAGGUAUUGUACGAUCGUGCACUUCAGAGAUCAUCUGAUAUAGCAGUGCAUAAUAUCCACUGAACAUUAAAUGUUACUAUCUUUUGAUAGUUACAUAUGGGACAUGCUGAUAUAGUAAUAUAAAAUCUUGUUAACC